GCAAGUCGAACGGUAACAUUUCUAGCUUGCUAGAAGAUGACGAGUGGCGGACGGGUGAGUAAUGCUUGGGAACUUGCCUUUGCGAGGGGGAUAACAGUUGGAAACGACUGCUAAUACCGCAUAAUGUCUACGGACCAAACGGGGCUUAGGCUCCGGCGCAAAGAGAGGCCCAAGUGAGAUUAGCUAGUUGGUAAGGUAACGGCUUACCAAGGCGACGAUCUCUAGCUGUUCUGAGAGGAAGAUCAGCCACACUGGGACUGAGACACGGCCCAGACUCCUACGGGAGGCAGCAGUGGGGAAUAUUGCACAAUGGGGGGAACCCUGAUGCAGCCAUGCCGCGUGUGUGAAGAAGGCCUUCGGGUUGUAAAGCACUUUCAGUUGUGAGGAAAAGUUAGUAGUUAAUACCUGCUAGCCGUGACGUUAACAACAGAAGAAGCACCGGCUAACUCCGUGCCAGCAGCCGCGGUAAUACGGAGGGUGCGAGCGUUAAUCGGAAUUACUGGGCGUAAAGCGCACGCAGGCGGUUUGUUAAGCUAGAUGUGAAAGCCCCGGGCUCAACCUGGGAUGGUCAUUUAGAACUGGCAGACU
rnacentral:rRNA from 1 species